rnacentral:rRNA from 1 species
GAUGAACGCUGGCGGCGUGCCUAAUACGUGCAAGUCGAGCGAACAGAUGAGGAGCCUGCUCCUCUGACGUUAGCGGCGGACGGGUGAGUAACACGUGGAUAACCUACCUAUAAGACUGGGAUAACUUCGGGAAACCGGAGCUAAUACCGGAUAAUAUAUUGAACCGCAUGGUUCAAUAGUGAAAGACGGUUUUGCUGUCACUUAUAGAUGGAUCCGCGCCGCAUUAGCUAGUUGGUAAGGUAACGGCUUACCAAGGCAACGAUGCGUAGCCGACCUGAGAGGGUGAUCGGCCACACUGGAACUGAGACACGGUCCAGACUCCUACGGGAGGCAGCAGUAGGGAAUCUUCCGCAAUGGGCGAAAGCCUGACGGAGCAACGCCGCGUGAGUGAUGAAGGUCUUCGGAUCGUAAAACUCUGUUAUUAGGGAAGAACAAAUGUGUAAGUAACUAUGCACGUCUUGACGGUACCUAAUCAGAAAGCCACGGCUAACUACGUG